UACGUAGGCAGCAAGCGUUGUUCGGAAUUACUGGGCGUAAAGAGUGUGUAGGCGGUUCCCUAAGUUCGGUGUGAAAUCUCCCGGCUCAACUGGGAGGGUGCGCCGGAAACUGGGGGGCCUGAGUAUGGGAGAGGAAGGCAGAAUUCCUGGUGUAGCGGUGAAAUGCGUAGAUAUCAGGAGGAACACCUGCGGUGUAGACAGCUUUCUGGACCAUCACUGACGCUGAGACACGAAAGCGUGGGUAG
rnacentral:rRNA from 1 species